UUAAUUUUUGUUGUAUGAAUGUGAAAUUUUGCCCGCAUGUUCAUCUUAUUGCUAUUCCAAAAAUUCAAACUUUGUUUAUGAUUACUUUGUGUGUUUUCAGGUAAUGAUGUCCCACGAUUUUGAGACUGGACCCAGCCAGGGCUGGGAAGACUCAGAAGGAGUGCGGAAAAAUCGGUUCAGGAAGCGAAUUAACAUGGUCGCUGCAUUUACCUGAAAGGGUCAUGCCACUCAGGUUAUCGUUUGGGCCGAAGUGACUUCGACCGGGAAGACACUGCCGAUUUUUAUGGAUCAGGGGGUUAAAUCAACUCCCAGAAGUACCAUGAUGAGAAAUUUCCACGUGCUCGGUCCGCGUUCUUGGGCAUGAGACAAUCACAACGUCGAGUAUCUCACCGCUACGUUCUCCAAGUGUCUACGGGUCUGUGUGAAGGUGAUACGUGGAUACUUUGAAGUUUGAUUGUACUUUGUUGCUAUUUAAACAAAAUUUAUGCCAAAUUUUAUGUCUUUAUGUGGUUCCGUUCUAUUUUUAUCGACAGAAAUAUCGUGCUACCAGACUUUUAUGGCAUCUUGUAUAAUAGUUAGAAAAAAGUUGUCUAAAAAAAGCAAAUUUCAUGAGUGGAGAGGGAAAAAGCAAGUGAGUACCAAAAAAAGUAGGCAACAUUGGACGCAACCAAUAUUCGUAGUUGACUAUGUAAUAGAAAUUAGUGGAAUGAGAUUACCAAGCGUUAGCAGUGAUAAUGGGAAGGAGAGAGGGUACUCAGGGAAUGGCAUAAAGAGGUUGACUAGUCAAUGGACGGAGUAAGUAUUACUUGAGGAAAGAAAGCUGAAAUAGACAAAAAGGAAGCAACUAAUAUGUACAACAAUUAUGGAAGAGAUGAAAUAACAAGAACUGCUUGCUGCAACAAAAAGGGAAAUAACACAAAAAAGGAAAAAACAAAAUGAUGUUGUAGCAAUGAGUUGCCUAAUUAUACAAGAUGACCUUAGUAAAGAAAAUAAGCAACGAAUUUCCUCGAAUUAAGCUUGGUGUUCUGGAAAUACUUUAAUUUCAGCAGUGUUUUUAUGAAACCAUUUAAUUCAAGUCAAGGUUACUUCAAGAUUUAUACAAUACCUUUCCCCAAAUAUUAGAAGAUGUCUUCUUAAAUAAUUGGCAUAACCUUUGGUUCGUUGCAUUUUGAGAUUUUUAAAAUCGUUAGCAUUAAUGCUUAUUUACAUUAUAACAUUGUUAAACCAUCUAACUUAACCAAAUAUCUCACUUAUAUACCAUGAAAUCACACUCAAUAUCAACCCAACCCUAAAUUGAUUAACAAGAAAUGUAACGCUCCGGCCGCAAACGACCUUGGCAGAUUUUAAAGUGUUAUUUAAAGUUAUAUCCAAUCGAAACUGGUCAACACAUAUUAUAAGGCUUCGGUUGCAAGCGACUUCGGCUAAAUUUAAAAGGAAUAAUGUAUAACUAAAUUGAUUAGUAAAUAAAGUAGCGCCUCAACAAAAACCCACCAUUUACUAUCAUUUCAAAAAAUUCAAGUCUUGUUAAUAAAGAAAAGGAGCUACAGGAAAAAUACAAACUGAAAAGGAAAAGACAGUAAUUAUACGCACGAAAAGUAUCUUUAAAUUAGAAAUGUUUAAAGUCUUUAGAUGCAAAGUGUGUUAAGUCUGCUCGAUUUACGCAACAAUGACCAAGGAUAGUGUUUCUCCGCAAUUUGCACAUAAGUUUUCAUGUUGUGAAGAUGCUAUAGUGUUUGAUGGCAGCACAAGUUAAUCUAUUAGCAUACAUGUGCCUACUUAAAAAUAGAGUUCUUUGAAAUUGAAAGGAGACAAAAAUUUGACUUUAAAAGUUAAGGGUUAAUGCAAAUAAAAAUUGAAUAAAGCUGUUUAACACAAAACUUUUUGACACAUUUGGAUGAAAAACAAUUAGGUUUUUUAAUCUUUAAAUAAGUUAUGAAAAUGGAUGAAAAUAUGUCAGGAAUACAGGUUUGGACAGACAACAAAUGUGUCACUCCUCUUUUGCAUUAAAAAUUAUUCUAUUUCCAAUACAAAACAUGUAAUAAUAUGUACGCCAUUUAAUAAUAUUAUCUUCUAGUAUUUGAAUUUUGCAUAUUAAGUUUAUGGUUAAAUAUAAGUGUGUUCGAACUGCUCGAGGAAUGUAAAUUGAAAUAAGGUGACAAUCAAAUUUGGAUCAAAAUUAGAUAAGGGGUUGGGUUGGACAACUUUCAAGUGAAAUCUACUACUAAAAGAGAUAGAUCCAGAACAUCUAUGAUGAAGUUUAAUGUUGACCAGUAUUUUUUGAAAUCAAGGACUAUAUAAAGAUUUCCUGUAUGUCGUGGAUAUAUAAAAAUAAAUUGUUUAAUAACCUCCAUAAUGAUUUUGACCUAUGAUCUCUGUAAAUAUCUAAAUAUUUUAGCAAAAAGAAAAUAUCAAUAGUUAUAUUGAGAAUGAAGCAGGUUUGAUUAGUCAUCUAACUAUUUUAUAUUCAAAAAAAAGAACAAAUAAACUCAGAGACCAAAAUUUUCAACUUAAUUCAUGGGACGAAAUGAUUUAAAAUCAUAACUAAAGUAUUAGAGAGAUGUGUUGUUUUGGAAAGUCAUGACCUUCGAAGAUGAUAAUCAACUUGAUGUGAAAACUAUUUGGCCAAAAAAGAAUUUUUAUGGGACUCCAGAGGAAAUGUUACCAUGCUUAACACGUUGACUGCCGCAAUAAUCACUAAAAGUCUAUCCAUUCUGGCCGGAACAAUUUUAAAAUUAAAUAGGCAUGAGAAUCAACUGGUGCUUCUCAUGGCUGGUGUGGAAAUUUUGCCGUGCAUCAAGUUACGUUUUUCCUGGCAGUCAAUGUGUUAAACGUCUUGCCACUAAAUUUCCUUAACCAAACAACAUUUUCACUAUUUUUAGUCCUUUUAAGUUAGUCUAAAUGCGAUUUUAGUGUGAUAUUGACAUGAUUCUACAUUUUUAUGAUAAAAUCUGACUAACCUUACUAAAUAAGUUGAGAACUUCCGGUCUACUUAAUGAUGACAAUUCUUGUAAACAAAUAUUCGGUUUAAAUCCCUAAACUUGGGCUUUGAAGCUUUUCAUUUUCUUAUCAUAACCUUUUAUUAGUAAAUAAAAUGUUUUUGCAUUUCAUGGCGACAAUAGUUAUAUUUUUGUUCUACCGGUUUCGUGUCUCAAUUAGGGCAUCUUCAGGAAAAAAAAAUUUCAGACAAAAUUAUGUAAGGAUUUUUUUUUAAUUUGUUAAGGUGUUCCUGAAGAUACUUUAGAUUGAUUGCAAAAUCGUUUUGUUUAUUAAAUCACUAAAAGAUUAAGAACAUUAGAACCAAAGACUAAAAAAUUAAAACAAUGAUCUUUCUAUACCUGUAGUUGAAUAAUUUAAGAGUGAUGAGAUAUAUAAACAACUAAAAAUUGAGUAGAGUUUGUUUGAUCCCAGUGUGAUUGACCUCAGUCAAUAGAAAAUGAAAAAAAAGUUAUUAUUUAUGAACCUGAAGGUGCUAAGUAAUAUUUCUGUGAGCGUAUUUCAUGCAUAAAAGUUUAGUUCAAUACCUUUGGAUUUUAAUAUGGUUUCUUCACAUAAUUAUUUGAUGGAACACAAAUAACGGGUUUUAUCUUUGGUUAUCCAACCCAUAAUUGCCCAAGCUUGCAUAUAUACUGCAUUUAUUGGGUACAAAAGACUGGAUUCCCCAUUGAAUGAAAAAUUAGAAACUAACUCAUGAUUAGAAUCAAUCGUUUUUAGGUAAAUAGAGGCACAUUUCAUCAUUAAGUAGGACGCGACACCAUUCUCCUAUGCAAAUGGAAUGAUAACAGUAUUGCUUUAAUAGUGACUAAUUACUUAAACAGUUUUACCAGAAAAUAAAGUUAAUAGGCGAAAAAAAUGUGAAUAUUAAACACCUACAUGUUGUAUAAAAAUACAAUGGGAAUGAGGGUGCCAAAAGUGGUCUAAAUAACGGGAAGUAAAUCGAAAUAUUAAACGUUAGCAAACAAUUGUGCAAUUAUAAAUACCAC